UACGGGGGGAGCAAGCGUUGUUCGGAUUUACUGGGCGUAAAGGGUGCGUAGGCGGUUUGGUAAGUCUGAUGUGAAAUCUAUGGGCUCAACUCAUAGUCUGCAUCGGAAACUGCCGGGCUUGAGUGUGGGAGAGGUGAGUGGAAUUCCUGGUGUAGCGGUGAAAUGCGUAGAUAUCAGGAGGAACACCUGUGGCGAAAGCGGCUCACUGGACCAUAACUGACGCUGAGGAGCGAAAGCGUGGGGAGCGAACAGG
rnacentral:rRNA from 1 species